rnacentral:rRNA from 1 species
UGGACCAGACUUUGAUUAUGGCUCAGGAUGAACGCUGGCGGCGUGCCUAAUACAUGCAAGUCGAACGAAACUUCUUUAUCACCGAGUGCUUGCACUCACCGAUGAAGAGUUGAGUGGCGAACGGGUGAGUAACACGUGGGCAACCUGCCCGAAAGAGGGGGAUAACACUUGGAAACAGGUGCUAAUACCGCAUAACCAUGAACACCGCAUGGUGUUCAUGUGAAAGGUGGUUUCGGCUACCGCUUUCGGAUGGGCCCGCGGCGCAUUAGCUAGUUGGUGGGGUAAAGGCUUACCAAGGCAAUGAUGCGUAGCCGAACUGAGAGGUGGAUUGGCCACAUUGGGACUGAGACACGGCCCAAACUCCUACGGGAGGCAGCAGUAGGGAAUCUUCCACAAUGGGUGAAAGCCUGAUGGAGCAACGCCGCGUGGGUGAAGAAGGUCUUCGGAUCGUAAAACCUUGUUGUCAGAGAAGAAAGUGCAUGAGAGUAACUGUUCAUGUUUCGACGGUAUCUGACCAGAAAGCCACGGCUAACUACGUGCCAGCAGCCGCGGUAAUACGUAGGUGGCAAGCGUUAUCCGGAUUUAUUGGGCGUAAAGGGAACGCAGGCGGUCUUUUAAGUCUGAUGUGAAAGCCUUCGGCUUAACCGGAGUAGUGCAUUGGAAACUGGGAGACUUGAGUGCAGAAGAGGAGAGUGGAACUCCAUGUGUAGCGGUGAAAUGCGUAGAUAUAUGGAAGAACACCAGUGGCGAAAGCGGCUCUCUGGUCUGUAACUGACGCUGAGGUUCGAAAGCGUGGGUAGCAAACAGGAUUAGAUACCCUGGUAGUCCACGCCGUAAACGAUGAAUGCUAAGUGUUGGAGGGUUUCCGCCCUUCAGUGCUGCAGUUAACACAAUAAGCAUUCCGCCUGGGGAGUACGACCGCAAGGUUGCAACUCAAAGGAAUUGACGGA